rnacentral:rRNA from 1 species
AACGAACGCUGGCGGCAUGCCUAACACAUGCAAGUCGAACGAACCCUUCGGGUCUAGUGGCGCACGGGUGCGUAACGCGUGGGAACCUGCCCUUAGGUUUGGAAUAACUCCCCGAAAGGGGUGCUAUUACCAGAUAAUGUCUUCGGCCCAAAGAUUUAUUGCCUUUGGAUGGGCCCGCGUUGGAUUAGCUAGUUGGUAGGGUAAAAGCCUACCAAGGCGACGAUCCAUAGCUGGUCUGAGAGGAUGAUCAGCCACACUGGGACUGAGACACGGCCCAGACUCCUACGGGAGGCAGCAGUGGGGAAUAUUGGACAAUGGGCGAAAGCCUGAUCCAGCAAUGCCGCGUGAGUGAUGAAGGCCUUAGGGUUGUAAAGCUCUUUUACCCGGGAUGAUAAUGACAGUACCGGGAGAAUAAGCUCCGGCUAACUCCGUG